rnacentral:lncRNA from 1 species
CAGGAUCCUAAGUGCCUUCCCAUUACUAUGAUUUCUCUUAUACUGUCACAAUAUACAGAACAUCUACUUAUAUCUAUACUUACUUGGAUUUUUACAGAUUUUUUUUAUUUUUAAACAUUAUUUUCUGUGAUCAGGUUUCGUAUUAUUUUCUUAGUAAGAGUACUUAUAGUGGAUUUUAUUUUGGCCAUAUAUUACGGCUGGAGAACAAAGAAAGAAAUGGACGUUAAUGGUAGAUUUCCAAUCAAGGCUAUGACAGGUAAUUAUAAAACAAUUCUCUUUAAAUGUUUUAUUUUUGUAUGCUAUAUACUCAGUAAUAAUACUUAUUAGAGUGGCAGGGGAUCAUCUUUAUGGGGCAAUGGUAGGUUUGGGAACCGACGUGUGGAGUAGUUGAACAUUUGUGGGUCCAAUGGGCUAGGAAUCCACUGGUUUUAUAGAUGGUGGGUUGGUUGAUAGAGGGCAUUUCAUGCUUUUGCCAAGAGGGAUUGGGUGCUCUCUCUAAUAGGACUAAAUGAAUGGGUGUCCCUUGGCCCUACUCUUACAGGGCUAGAGGCUUGUUGACAGGGGCGUACCUGGAGCAUUUGGCACCUGUGGUGGAUCUUAUAUUUGGCAAACCACCUCCCCCGCCCCCCACCUCCCCCGCCCCCCACCCCCAAUUUUAAAGUGUAAAAAACACCCACACAUUUAAAAAAAAUGUAUUUAGCAUUGAGCAGUGUUUUUUGAGUAUGUGGUGUGUUUUAUGUAGUGUUGAUAUUUGGAUGCAGUGGUGUAUUUGUGUGUAGUGUUGGUGAAAUGCUGAGAUGUAUGCACAUAUACACAUAUACUCAAAUAUACACAUCCUCUACCCCACAAUACAUUAUUCUGCUAUAUAUCUGACUCCUCCUUAGUUAUGGUUCCCCUCGAUGACUCUGCAUAUGGGUUUCAAUAAGAGUGUUAAUAGUGAACAGACCUCAUGGUAUUUGUUUUUAAAUGCAUUUCUUUUUUAUUCUAAUACAUUUUGGAGAGACAAUUUCUGACAUUAAAACAGCAAACAGCAAGCAGCCUCUGGUUGUCUUUCUCCCACUUACAGCAUGGCAAUUGGGAGCAUAGGGGAGGCUUUAAAUCUCGCGGAUCCUAAUGUGGGGUUAUAUUGACACCCAAAGACAUUAAAAAUAUAUAUAUUUGCUUGCUGGCUGCUAGUUCUGAAGUGGGCAUAUAAUUAUUUACUCAGUAAAUGGCACUGAAUUGCUAAAACUGAUAAUUCAAUACAAAGUAUAAUAUUAAUUUUCUAGAUUUCAUGAAAAUCAAUAUUAUCGGAAACUAUAAGCUUUUAAUGCAACAAGUUUAAAAAAAAUUAAAUAAAAGCUUAUUGACACAAGAUAAAAUAUAUAGGCUGAUAAAUAAUCGACGCCUGUGUCAGAUUACAGCUGCAGAAUUAUCAAUGACCUACAUUCACACAGCCGUUCAUAAAAUACUGCCAGCAACGCAGGGACAGAGAUGAUUGAGAAUAAUAACUAUGGCAAGGAAAAGUAACAUCAAGUAGGAAAAGGAAACUUAAUGUACAUCAGAAUCAAGAUAUGAUUUAGCAACACUACUUACAAAUGCAUACUUUACACCUAUACCAUGUAAAGUGCAGCCCUGCAGUAUUUGCAUUUAUAACCCUCCCUUCAUUUUAUAGUCAUAUAAAAACCUAGGUGUACAUUGUCAUUGAGAGCAGUGGUAAAAAAACGUACUGCAAAAGUUAGCGUUAUGACAUCUGUGUACUAAUUCUUAUCCGUCUUGUCUUUGUAGCAUUUGUAUGACUGACUAAAGCUGACCACAUUUACAGGAUCUAAAAUGGCUACCCACUACUUAAUACUCCAGUCUUUUACAAACUGGCUGACGCUGCUAGAUGGCAACAGCAGGGUGUUCCCUUAAAAAUAUGGGCCUCACUAUUAUCAUCAGAAUUUGGUGGUGACUCUGGAUGGCUCAUUGAUACUACUUUACCCACUCUUGUAGCAGAGGUGGACUACAUGUAUGGGAAAGAGGAGAAGGAGGAAUCCAGGCAGAAGAUCCACAACACCAAGAUAUUAAUUUAUGAAAGACAAACAUCCGCACAAGUUUAUGUCUGUAAAACUCAGCAUGUCUGCAUGUAUUGUACUUUGCUUUAAAAGCACAUUAGAAUUUUUAAUAGGAUAGGAAAAGUCCUUUCAUUUCAUAUCAGUUUGAUAUGCAGCUGGAAUGGUUCCUUCUGUAAUCGCACACGUGAGCUACAACUAUUUGAGACUUGCUCAUUCUCUGUAUUUUCCUACUUAUUGCUCUGUUUUUGCCAUGUAUGCAUUUUUUUGUGGCCCCAAUAAUUAAAAAGGAAACUCCCCCACUUCCAAUGGAAAUGGUACUCAUUCUUAAGCAUCCAAAUUUCGGUUAAGGACUGAACUUAUAUACUAGGUACAAUUAUGUAGCUGUUAUUUCACUUACAAAGAAUGAAAACAUUCUAUAAAAUAGUGCUGCUGUGGUAUAAAACCUCAGUUUUCCCACAUAAACAUUUCCCAGAACUGAGUAUUAUGUGCUGGAGAUGUCAUGAAGAGGAGGGCUCUGUUCUUCACCUGUCUUGGCAAUGUUAGAGUUAUACGACCUUUCUGGGAAAACGUGAUCGAUACCCUUAAAAUUCCCCCCCCCAAUUUUUCUUCACUUACAUCCUCAGAGAUAUUAGGUUGGCCACACUCACUUCAAGAUUUAAGCAACCAGAAUUUUUGUGGACUCUUAGGUAAGGCCAAUGCACUUAUUCCCACCCUAUGGAGACAAACUAAAGUUCCCACACUGGCACAAUGGAUACAGCCUUGAGGAGCUGCAUUGGUCAGCUAGGGGACUGAGGCACAAGUACCUUAAAGUAUGGGGAGCCUGGUUGUCACAUUGGACAAGGCCUGGGGAUGGGCCAGGGACCGAUAGGGAUGAACAAUUGUGUGAGAGAGGUUGUCAAGGAGAUGGGUGAAGUUGGAAGAUGGGUUUUUACAGAGUAGAGGGAAAAAAGUUUCUGUAGAUUUGACCCCUAAAAUUUUUAUAAUUUUCUUUUCUACUUUGUUUCCCCGAAAAUAAGACAUCCCCCUAAAAUAAGUCCUAGCUUAUUUUUGGGGGAUGCUCCGAAUAUAAACCCUACCCCAAAAGUAAGCCCUAGUCAUUCGCUAACUAUGUUAGGGGAAUUUUCCCUGAACAUCGAUUUGCAGGAUUUCAUUAGCGAGUAAGCUAAUCUAUGUUCGGGGGAAAUACACCCAAACAUAGAUUUACGGUAUUCCAUUCACGAGUAAACUGAUCUUUGGUCGGGGAAGUUUCCCCGAUCAUAGAUUCACGGUAUUCUAUUAGCGAGUAAGCUAAUCUAUGUUCAGGGAAAUAUACCCAAACAUAGAUUCGCGGUAUUCCACUCGAGAGUAAAUUAAUCUAUGUUCAGGGAAGUUUCCACGAACAUAGAUUUGUUGUAUUUUAUUAGCGAGUAAGCUAAUCUAGGUUUGUAAAGUUUCCCCGAACAUAGAUUUGCAGGAUUCAAUGCUAUAGUGAAAUGGUCUAUGUUUGGGGGAAUUCCCCUGAACAUAGACCUGCUUUCUAGCACACGUUUUUCCCUAAAAUGAGACAUCCCCCAAAAAUAAGCCUUAGUGGAUUUUUUUGGGGAAAAAUUAAUAUAAGACCGUGUCUUAUUUUUCAGGAAAGACGUUAUUAAGUCAGUGUUUGAUUUAUCCUUUCCAUGGGUCUGCCCCUUUCAGUCAGUAAUUCUAGGGCUAACUAUCUUCAAAUGUCACAGCAGGGCUUUGGUUAAUUGGUCAUUGAGCGUUAAGAAAUUUUGUUUAUUGUGUGUGUAAUGUCACCAUAUUAUUGUAGCACUUAACAGACUACUCAGACUGCAUAAUUUCCCUUCCCUGCUUGGUGGCACAAGCAGCUGUCGUCUUGUUUGUUCUACUGUUAUUGAUUUUCAAACUUUAAUAUUUUAUACAUUGGGAUUUUUAUUUAGAAUAUAUAUAUGCUACUGAGUAUGCAUACUAUGUAUAAUGUACAUUCAUUAUGUCGUGGACUUGUAAGUAUAACAGAUUUGGGAAUUGCAG